UUUUUAUUUAAUUAGUUAAUUUAGAAUAUUUUCCCAUAGUUACAAGAUUCAUGUUCUUUCCCUCCCCUCCUCUCAUACCCUUCCCAUAGCUGACAGGCAAUUCCACUGGGUUUAAUAUGUGUCAUUGAUCAAGAUCUAUUUCCAUAUUAUUGAUAUUUGCACUAGAGUGAUCAUUUAGAGUCUACAUCCCCAAUCAUAUCCCCAUGUGAUCAAGCAGUUGUUUUUCUUCUGUGUUUUUACUGCCACAGUUCUUCUUCUGGAUGUGAAUAGUAUUCUUUCUCAUAAGUCCUCAGGAGGACAGUUUUAAAAAUGCAGCCUGUUUCAUGGAAAAAUGAAGCCCUUACGCUGGUUCAUUGGUCUUCGGUCUGGGAAGAAACAUUCAUCACCGCUAGUUCAGGGAAGAGACAAUACAAUUCCCACUCCCUUGAGUCUCUCCCUGAUCUGCCUGACUGCCUGGAUUGCCUUUUUCUGGAGGAGAGCACAUCUCAUCUAGUUUGUUGUAUCUUCUCCCUAAUGAUCUUCCCACUCUGGAGAUGCCUUCACCCCUGUGUUUCUCCUCUCAGAAUGGCCAGUUCCUUGCUGGGAGCAUCUCAGGAGUCCACCAACUAUCCUCAACAAGUCUUCACAGCUCCCAAAGAAUACUCCUUGAAACAAAUUAGUGAAAUCAACCAAAAUGAGGUCACUUCUAACUCUUAAAUCAUAAGAAAGAGAAGAAAGAUGGAGAAAGGGAAAGAGAAAGGAAAUGAAGAAUAAAGAAGGAGAAAGAGAAGAAAAGGAAGGAAAA
rnacentral:lncRNA from 1 species